GAGGGGUUGGGGGAAGCGAGAGGCCGAGGCCGGCCUGGCGGGCGCGCAGGAGGGCGGGACCUCCAGUUCUCCCCCGGGCCGCGCCAUAGUGGCGCGGCUAACCGGGCGGGCUUGGGAGACCCGAGGCGCAGCCCGCCGGGAAAGCAGACUCUGCGUGUGAGGCUCCGGACGCUGCAGUUUGUGUCUCAGGAUCUUUGAACUCCCGAGACUGAGGGCCGAGCGGUCCCGCCGGGCGUUGCUCUACCCCCCUCUUCUUGGCUGUUUUCACAGGAGGGAAUGCCGCGAGUGUGGACGGAGCCCAGCCGGCGCCGUCUCGGUCCUCGCUGACCUGUUGGUGGGGGCGUGGAGCCCAUCCGUGGCCGGGCCGAGUCCCCAGGUGGAGGUACAGUUUGGAAGAACAUUUUAAUUGGCAUUUUUUUUUUCUACGAGAAAAUGCCCCCACCAACUGAGAUAAACAGCUAUUGACACUUACGUUUUUUCACUGUAAAUUAACAAGUCAGUAUUUUGGUUCUUGCACUGGAGCUUCUAAUGAAUAUGACUCAGCUCCUUUUAGUCCAGUAACAGGAAAGCCAGCCAGACGGAAUUCACCAAGAUGAGCUUUCCAGCACCCCAACGCUGCAAGAAAAUCUCCCAUACACUUUUCUAUGAAAAGGGAUCUGUGUAUAAAUCAGGAACCAAAACAUGGGGAAGAUCUAAGACCUUGGUAACUUAACAUCAUGUUUAAGUGAAAAUACUCUGCUGUCGUAUAGGAAAGAGAGAAGACUAUAUAGAGAAAGUACUUAAGGUGGGAAUAUAUGGCAUUUCUAAAAAAGAAGAGGUCAAUUUCUGUUGUGCCCCUAAGAAAAGGAAAGCACCUGAAGCCAGCCUGGUUUAGGAAGCUGAUAGUGGACCUUAAAAUGAUUUCCUAACAGUUAAUAAGGACAUCAUAGAAUAGAAAAAUGAUAGAAAUUUUGGGAAUGCUUAUUUCUAAAGGGCUAGAGAAAGAAAAGAAGCAGCUGGGCAGGGAAGUUGGGCAAGAAUGGGUUAAGAAGCAAUGUCCAGUGAUUGGCAGUAUCAUGAAAGGGGGUUAAGAAAAUGCCUUAGGUUUGUUAAGUAGGAGGGAAGCUUUUGGCUGAUCCCUAAUACCAUGGGGGGAAGGGGAGGAUAAGAUACGUACUCCAUUAUUGCCCUAGAGGUCCUGGAAAUUAUGGAAAAGAAAAGAUAUGUAAGGAUUGGAAAGACAAUACCUGUUAUUCCAAGAUAACAUGAUAGUCUAUACAUAAAACAAUCCACUAUUAUUAGUAUUAAAUGAAUUUAACAAGUUGCUGGAUACAGUUUAUCAAUUGCACUAAGCAAUUAGAAAAUUAUUUUCAGGUUACAACUACACAAAUGCGUUGAAAGCAUCAAAUAUCUAUUAGUUUUCUUUGGCUGCUGUAACAAGUUACCACAAACGGGUUAAAACUCUUACGUUCUGGUAGUGGAGGCUAGCAGACUGAAAUCAAGAUGUCAGAGGGGCAAAUCUGUACCCUGCCCUUUUCAGUUUCUGGUGUCUGCUGUUAUCUGCUGUUAUUUCUUGGCUUGAAACCACAUAACUAACCUCUUUUUCUUCACUCUCCUGUGUAUGAUUUUAAUAUAAGGAUACUGUGAUGGCAUUUGUGAGGACUCCUUGAUCCCAUCUACAAAGACCUUUAUCCAUGUGCUUUGGUAAGAGACUGAUGUGGAAAUACUUUGAAACAAGAAGAAAGGUCUUCCCAACUUGAGUGUCAUGAUGGAGCCUGGAGGUCAUCUCUAGUUCUUUGCCAUGCGGUAUUGCCAUUGACUUCACCAAUCCAGGAAGGAGAAAGUAAAAAGUUAUAAGAGGCCCAACCACUUUGAUUUUCUGAAGCUACUACUAUGCUAAAGAACUUGGAGAAAUAAGUAAUAAAGACUCCUUUUACUUGUUUUCAUGAAGCAAGCUGCCAUGUUGUAAGAUGUGUUAUAGAGAUGACUGUGUCAGUGAACUAAGGAAGACCUCUGGCCAAUAGCUUGUGAGAACCUGAGACCUCUGGCCAGCAGCCCACAAGGAACAGAAUACACAAUAGCUGUGUGAAUCAUGUGCAGAUUCUUCACCCUCAAGCCUGACAAGAAUAUAGCCUGUGAGAGAUCCAAGGCCUGAUGACCCAAAAAGCUAUGUCCAUAAUUUCUGUGCUCCACAGAAAUCAUGCAAUAAUAAAUGUGAAGUUUGGAAUUAUUUGCCAAACAACAAUACAUAACAAUGUACUACUAAAAAUAAAGAGGAAAUUGUAAAAAUAUCCAGAAAAAAUUAAUACAUUACAUAUCAGGAUAAAAGUCAUUUAACAUCUUUGGCCUUUUUGUCAGAAAAGGGGAGCCAGGAAGGAAAUAAACAAUAUUUUCAAGUGCCUAAAAGAAUAAAACUGUCAAUUCCACAUUUUGAAUCCAGCCAUAAUAUCCUAUGAGAAUAAAAUAAAACUAAGGAAGUUUCCAAAACAAUUUAUUAUCAUCAGUUGUUCACUACAAGAGAUGUUAAAGGGAAUGCAUCAGAUUGAACAGAAGAGACACCAAAUAGUCAGAUCUUCAGGCCUUACUCAAUCAUAUGCCAUAAAACUGCCCUUUUCCCAGGUUCCCCAGAAACCUUAUCUGGACUCUCCUAUCUGAUGUUGAAACUCUUAAGAACCUCAAUCCUGAUAAAAAAAAAAUCCUUUGAUAAAUGCAAGAAGAGACCAAAGCUAGUUCAAAAUAAUGUCAUAAAAGUCAUGCACUUUCUAUCUAGACACAGGAUAUUUAAAGUAAUAUUACACUUAAUACUUAUCUGGUUUUCCUUGGCAACAAUGUGAAGAGUGGCUGAACACAGAAGAGAGAGAGAAAAAAAGGAAUGUCUCUAAUAGUUUCCAUGGCAAGGAGAAAGAAGAAAGAAGCCAUUAAGAAAGAAGCCAUUAUCACCAUCUAAAACCGAAGAGCAGCAUGUAAUGAAGAGGCACCUAGCUCUACAUACCAUACAAUUUCAGAAGUAGUAGUGAGGAUGAACUCCACACAAUUGUGAACCAAGAUAGUACAGUAUCCUGGUAGGAUUCAGGAAGAAGAGAGGUUAAGUUCUACCUGCCUUGUCUCUUUGAAGUGGGUUAUUCCUGCCCCUAUUUAAGACUAGGACCAUCAUGAAUCUGUUUCCCACCACAUGCUCAGUGCCUGGAAGAAGAUACAUCCAAUCAAUAAACCAUAGACAAUCAUGUGGAUGUCAAAUCACAAAAAGCAUUUACAAUAAUAAAUUCUA